rnacentral:rRNA from 1 species
UACGAAGGGGGCUAGCGUUGCUCGGAAUUACUGGGCGUAAAGCGCACGUAGGCGGCUCUUUAAGUCGGGGGUGAAAUCCUGGAGCUCAACUCCAGAACUGCCUUCGAUACUGAAGAGCUUGAGUCCGGGAGAGGUAAGUGGAACUGCGAGUGUAGAGGUGAAAUUCGUAGAUAUUCGCAAGAACACCAGUGGCGAAGGCGGCUCACUGGCCCGGUACUGACGCUGAGGUGCGAAAGCGUGGGGAGCAAACAGG